GGCGACGUAGCUCAGGUGGUUAGAGCGAAGGCCUCAUAAUCCUUAGGUCCAGGGUCCGAGUCCCUGCGUCGCCA
rnacentral:tRNA from 1 species